GCUGGUGGCUCACUGGGAGUGAGACAACCGGAGUUGGGGAUUUGAGACAGGAUUUAGAAUAGAACAAGCAAAGCCUGUAAUCCCAGCACUCGAGAGGGUGAGGCAGGAGGAUUAUUGCAGGUUCGAGCCCAGCCUGGACUACAAAGUGAGCUCAAGGCCAGCCUGAAUUGCACAGCAAGAUUCUAUCUCAGAGAGAGAGAGAGAGAGAGAGAGAGAGAGAGAGAGAGAGAGAGAGAGAGCAAGAGAGAGGCUGGCCUGGAGAAAAAGACAGGACUGACCCUUCAGGGUUCAGGUAGGCCUGGGCUGUGCAGAAAGAAUCCCCACUGCUGGCUUUGCUGUGUUCCACCUGUACUUCUGCACCUCUUCAGAGGGGACUUGACCUCCGGCUCUGCUGGCAUCAUGAGGGGACCCAGGGCAAUGAGAGGGCUUGCCAGAGCUGCCAGUGUCCUCGCCUGCUGCAGGAUGUGGGAGUUGCCUCUGGGAAGCGGGUCCCUUACACCCUCCCCACAGGAGGAGCUGGGCUGCUCCUAGGGAAAGGUAAGGAGACAAGGAGGCAGGGUCUCGUGAGCACAGCUGUCUGUUCCUGCUGGCUGCCAGCUCAUCCUGUGUCUCACACUUCUGGGCCAGGCCAAGGGACUUUACAGAACAGGUAUGGAGGCCAGUCCUGAGCUGGUGUUUUGUCUUCUGUGUAUUGUGGUUUGCAAGGCAAAGGCAUGAGAUGACAGUGACAGGGACAAGAGGCAGAGAGCUGCCUUCCCACAGGAGCUGGGGGAAGGGAUUUAAGGCCCAGCUGCUGACAUUUUUACAAAACAAAUAAGUGCAGGGUUGAGCUGGUGACCUCAGUGUGAUGGAAAAAGCCAGUCAGCAGCGUGGCUGCCAGAAAUGGUAUGUUUCUCGGCCCACCUGUUAGGAAGCGGAAAGGGAGAUGUUGAGUAAUAUCAUCCCAGCAGUUACCAAGCUGCCACUGCCUGCUUGGCACGGCUCUGCACACUUGAUGUGGGCUCAGUGAGAACCCUCCCAGCAUCCCCUGCAGAGGCCUAUGCUGUGGUUUCCAGUUGAGAGCCCGGGAACGGAGCAGAGAAGCAGAGAUUGCUUGAGAUUACUUGAGAUUUGCAGAAGAGUGGCUUACUGUGGAAGCACUCCACUCCCAGGACAUGCCUUGGACAACUGGAGGAAGGAGGACCAGGAAGGGGAGUGAGCGUUCUGCAGAAAUGUCUGUCAGCCUGGGCUGCUACAACACGAAGCCAUGGAGUGGGCGGCUUAUAAACUGCGCAAGCGUACUUCUCAUGAUUCUGGAGGCAGUGUGUAAGAUCAGGGUGGCUGUGGGGUCAGGUUCUGGGGAGAGCUCACUGUUGGGCUGCUGACUGCCGACUUCUCCCUGUGCCCUCACAUGAAACAAAAGAGGGCCAGUGCUCUCUGCAGUCUCUUUUGUAAGAUCCCACUCAGGAGGGCCACACCCCCAUGACCCCAUCACCUCCCAAAGCCUCAUCUCCUAACGCGUGGGAACUUGUGGGAGGAUACAAACAUGCAGUCCCGGAGAAGAGGGCAGCCUCAGCCUGGCCCUGGCUGGGUGAGUGGGACUCUGCAGGGGAAGUUGUACCUGGAGGAGUCCGUCCUGACUGCAGGCAAGGAAGCUGAGCCUGCCUUCUCCUUCAUUGCCCUCAUGGCAAAGCCCCCAGGGAUGUGGGGACCUAAAGUCUGUCACACCUAGGUCCUUGAGGGAGAAGGGAAAGCAUACUCAGUCCCUGGGGGUGGGGAGGGGGCGAAGGGCCUAAUUUGCUGCUCUAAGCCUUCUUCCCUCACAGGGUUUGGUGCAGGGAGGAGGUGUUCCCAGGCCCUCCCUUCUGGAAGCUGGGCCAAUCAGCUGAAGAGGGAGAAUGAGGAAGCUUGGGCGCUCCUGGCCACACCCCAUCUCUGUGGGUGCGCGUGUGCAGUUUGGGAAGAGCUGGGGUGCACACCCAGUGGCUGCUUGCCUGUGAGCCUUGUGUCCCCUAUGAGCCUUGGAGUUUCUGAAAACACUUUACAGUCCAUGCUGCCUUUGAGUCUGUCAUUUUUUUUAUUUUGUGGCACUGGGGAUGGAACUCCUGGCCUAACCUUAGGCAAAUGCUCCAUCAGUGAGCAACAUCCCAGCUGGGGUCUACUUUUGUUCCCUGUAUCCCUUCAGCUUUCUUCCUUCCUUCCGUUCCCUUGCACCGGACUUGCAGGGCCUCUGUUCGGUCACCCCACUGCCAGGGCUCCUUAGGUUCUGGCUCCAGCUCCAGGCGCCUCCCUGUCCCAAGUCACCAGAUUGUUGUCCAUCUGUGUAUUCGUCCAGCUUCUUUCUCAGCUGCUCUGGACUUCCAGCACUCAGCCUGCCAGACCCAUGGUUGCACAAGCCUUCAGGCCCUUUUUUCCACCCACCAGUGCUGGGUGCCCUGUAGCAGAGACAAGGGACAAAGGGUCUCCAGUCAGCCACGUUGUUGACUUCCUGAAAUUUCCAUUCUUGAGAAAACUUGAGUUUAUUUUCCACUGUCAGGAAUCCAGAGUCUGAAUGAUUUUACCACUGUUCCUUUUUUGCUGGGCUGGGAUUCUGUUUAUCAGGGGGCGAGGAAUUCGACUUCCUGGCUUUCCCAUCUCAGCAGUUUUUAUCCCUCCCAUUUGCUUCCCUUUUCCCUCCUCCUCUCCUUCCUCGUUUCCCAUCCCCUCUUUCCCAGCCCUUUCUCCUCCCACUUUCACUCUCUUCCCCUCCCCAUUCUCCCUUCCUAUGUUCUCUAUUGGUGUAAGUGAUCCAGGCCAGACCCUGGGAUGGGCCACUGUCAUUGCUGCUGCAGCUCCUGCUGCUUCCUGGGUUAGGAGCUCCAGAGCCUGGAGGCAAAUUCACACCACAGCCCUGUGGCCUGCUUCCCUACAAGCUGUGGAGCAGAAGUGCAUCGUCGGAAGUAACCUCUUUCUCAUCACCUCCCCCUUAGAGUGGGGGACGCCAAAGGACACUUAGCUUCUUGGACUCAGAGCUCAAGGAAGUGAGCGGUCCCCAAGACCUCUUCCAUUUUUACUGUCUUGUGGUUUUGUAUUAGGUGGUCUUCUCAUCCACUGGAAUGGCUGAAAUAAAAAAGAACGAGCCAAGGUGGAGGAGAGGCUGAGGCAGGAGGAUUGAGAGUCAAGGAAGGGGUUAGGGGGCAACUGGCCAGCUCACAUUGCAGUGGGAAGAGUUGUUAAUAAAGUUACACACAUAUCUA